rnacentral:rRNA from 1 species
GACGAACGCUGGCGGCGUGCUUAACACAUGCAAGUCGAACGGAAAGGCCCUGCUUUUGUGGGGUGCUCGAGUGGCGAACGGGUGAGUAACACGUGAGUAACCUGCCCUUGACUUUGGGAUAACUUCAGGAAACUGGGGCUAAUACCGGAUAGGAUCUCCUGCUCCAUGGUGGGGGUUGGAAAGUUUCGGCUGUUGUGGAUGGACUCGCGGCUUAUCAGCUUGUUGGUGGGGGAGUGGCUUACCAAGGCUUUGACGGGUAGCCGGCCUGAGAGGGUGAACGGGCACAUGGGGACUGAGGUACGGCCCAGACGCCUACGGGAGACAGCAGUGGGGAAUAUUGCACAAUGAGCGCAAGCCUGAGGCAGAAACGCCGGGGGCGGGAUGACGGCCUUCGGGUUAUAAACCGCUGUCGCCUGUGACGAAGCGGGAGUGACGGUAAUGGGUAAAGAAGCACCGGCUAACUACGUG